rnacentral:tRNA from 1 species
GGGAGUAUAGCCAAAUGGUAAGGCGAAGGUCUGCAAAAUCUUUAUUUCUGGUUCAAAUCCAGAUACUCCCUCCA